UCUUCUGAAAACAGGAAAAUAACAUACUACAAACUGUCAUGUGGAUCACGACCAAUAGUGAAAUGUGAAUUAUAUUUAUAUAGUCAUUUUCUCUAGUGACUCAAAGCGCUUUUAAAUAACUAAACCCAGUAUAUAAGUUACAUUUAAACCAGUGUGGGUGACACUGGGAGCAGGUGGGUAAGGUGUCUUGCCCAAGGACACAACGGCAGUAAGUAGGAUGGCGGGAGCGGGGAACAAACCUGGAACCCUCAAGUUGCUGGCACGGCCACUCUAACAGCUGAGCUAUAUAUGCUUGGCAGGGACCUCCGCUGGAAGCACACUUGGACACGGACCUGCUCGCUCUGGCCGCAUUGCGGCCACGCGCCAGCAAAGUUGCAGGUAAUAUGUAAUCAGCGCACAUGGUCUGGCAAAGACAGACAGCAUAAAGACCAGCGGACCCGAAGAUCCAGCACCGGAACGUAGUUAACUCCUUGUAUGCCUUUCCUGUUUCCCAUGAUUGAGCUGUGUGCCUCUACUCCUCUCUGGAUUUUGACCCCUGCUUGGACACGGACCUCAUUGCUUCUCUCCAGCCCCUGACCGCUUGCUUGCCCACGGACUGCCCUUCUUGCCUUGCCUUGCCCCUCUGGGCUGACGAAGGAUUCAUCCAACACGCACUCACAACAAACCCUGGUAACAUUUACAUUGUAUAUUCUACACACUGUUUUACACCAAACAUUUAGAGGAGCAUACACA